UCUAGUCUUAACGAGCUUUGAUGC
rnacentral:siRNA from 1 species